rnacentral:lncRNA from 1 species
UUGGCUUAUAUUUUACUAUUCUAAUCACGUUUAUAGCAGACUCAGUUCAUGCACUGAAUUGAAAUUUCAAAAAAUGUUUUGAUUCACACACUUCUUAUAAUAUGUUUCUUCAUCUGGCAUUCCUGUUGCAUUCCUCUUAGCAGUUCUAGCAUGUUUGCUGUGUAGAGUUUAAAUAAAGACACAAUUGAGCAAUCGGACCAUUAUGCUAGUCUGUAAUUGAUUUGAUGCUUAGGCAAUUAUAUGCAAAUCAAUUCGAGAAGAACUACGUAACUUAAUUACGAUAUGAUGAUGCUAUUUGAGAUAACUAGUAUAAAAGGAAAGGGGACAUCACUACUGGUCCAACAGUACAGGGUCUUGGGACUUCUACAUGGAACUUGAGGUGUCCUCUUUAUCGUACGGCUAGCUUCUGCAUGUUAAUUUUAAGCUGUGAUAUCUGGUGUGAAAUGACAUGUUCAUUGCAUUCUCAAAGCCCAGCUCUUUUAUGCUGAGGCUGUUGUAGGUUUUGGUUUGAGUUGUCACCUGUCCCUCCCUCAGCCAAACAAUGCAGGAGAUAUCCAUAUGCAAUUUUGUAGACCUGCAGUCUAUCUAAUACAGCAGACAUAUGAGAGUGACAACUGUUUUGGAGAAAUUAAGACAACUACAAGUUACAAAAGUGUAACUACGAGUUUCCAAACCUUAGAAGUAAUAUUCUAGGUGAUCUACAAUAUACUUUGCAAUGCUGCUGAGACUUGUCGAGUUCUACUUUGCUGGUUUGAGGACAACUAUUCUACUAAUUUGAGAGCUACAAUCGGCUGCACUAAUACUUGGCACUGAAGAUUUUUGGAAGCUUUGUUUUCAACUCUCACAUUGGCUUGUUUUUCUCUUUGCGCUCCUGUGUUUUUUUUGAAAAGGAAUACUAACUUUGAUUCAAACAAAAGAGUUGAAUACAUUCAUAAUUUCGAUUGGAAAAGAACCCAACCAAACAACAGCUUCUAAGCGAUCAAAAGCUAAUCUAGCCAAUGAGUGGGCAAUCUCGUUACAAGAUCUUGGUGUAUAAUGGCAUUUAACAUUGCGGAGAUCCUUAAACUUGUUUUGAAUCUCUGAAAUAACCCAGUAAAUCUCAUUCUUGCUGCCCUUUUUGUUGUUAAUUAAAUUAGCCACCAUUUGCGAAUCAGUUUCGAUAAUUAAAGAGGUUAAUCCUGCAUCCACAUCUGCUUGCAAACCCCAUCUUACUGCUUCAGCUUCUGCAUACAAUACAUUCCCAUGAAACCUUGAAGUCUUGACUGCAGCAGCUAUGAUAUUCCCCGCUGCCUCUCUAAUCACUGCUCCCAACCAUGAUAAAUUUUUUUCCUUCCUUAUGGCUGCAUCAACGUUCACCUUGAACCAGCUUUGCGGUGGGGGAAGCCAAGCUUUGGCUGUUUUCUUCUCUUUGUCAGCUCCACAAGUCAGUCCUGAAGGCUUUACUCUCUGAUAAGCUUCUAACAAUGCUUCUGCAGUUGCUACUGACAUUUGAUAACCAGGCUUCUUUGCUUCAAAUAAAAGUUUAUUUCUUGCUGUCCAAAUAGUCCAGCAAGUGACAGCCAACAGCUCGAAAUCUAUUUUGCUCAUUUUCUUUGCUAGUUCUUGGAAAACCGUAAGCAUAUCUGGGCCUACCAUAUCCUUAAAGCUUUCUACAAAUUUGGUGUGCUCCCAGGUUUUCCGAGCUGCCUUACAUUCCACCAAAGCAUGAAAAAUGUUCUCAAACUUGUUACCACAAAUUUGACAGAAAGGCUCAUGCAUUACCUUUUUCCUCCAUAAGUUCACUGCAGUUGGAAGCAAAUUUCGAAUAACUCUCCAUAGAAAGAUCUUGAUUUUUUCUGGGACGUUAAGAGUCCAAAUGACUUUCCACUGAUUGCUGCUGUUCAUUGAGCUGCUUGGUGUAUCCGGAACCUUCAGCUUGACGGCUAUUUGGUAUCCACUUUUGACAGAGUAUUCUCCCUUCCUGUCAUAAUGCUAGAUUACUUGGUCUCUGCUGUGAUUUCUGGGCAGGGGGAUAUUCAUGAUUUCAUCUGCAUCUUCCUGCACAAAUCGAUCAAAAAGCAAAGCUUCUUUCCAUCGGUUAUCAUUUGUUAUUAGCUUAGAGACUGUAGUAUCACUUGGAAGUGUUUAUACUAAGAUUGGUUUAAAAGUAAAUGGUCGGGGAAUCCAAUUGUCUUUGUAGACCAGCACUUGAUCACCCCCACCAAUCCUCCAUCUGUAGCCUUUGAGGAUAACUUCUCUACCCCAUAAAAUACUCCUCCAAAUGUAAGAAGGUUUUGAGCCUACGAUUGCUUCCAAAAAAUUUCCACGCUUGAAGUAUUUGGCUUGUAAGACUUUAGCCACCAGUGAAUUACAAUUCUAAAUAAUCCACCACCCUUGUUUCGCUACCAAUGCUUGAUUAAAGCUGGAAAAGUCCCUGAAACCCAAGCCACUACGGCUUUUAGCUUGACUUAACUUAUACCAGCUAGCCCAGUGUAUGGCUCACUUGUCUUCUUUACUUCCCCAUCAGUACCUAGCAAUUGCUGUUUGGAUGUCGUCACAAGUGCCCACUGGUAAUUUGAAAACACUCACGACAUAGGCUGGCACCGCUUGUGCUACUGCUUUGAUGAGCACUUCUUUACCUCCACUCGAAAAACAUUUAUGCUCCCAACUUGAUAUUUUGUUCAGGAUCUUGAGUUUUAUUUCAUUGAAGAAGGAUUUCUUUUUUCGCCCAAUCAUAGAAGGUAACCCUAAGUACCUCUCAUGCUUCGAAACCACCUUGAGCUUGAAUAAGUUCUUAAUGGUCGAAAUUUGAUCCGCUUUCACAUUGUGGCUAAAGAAAAUUGAUGACUUGUCGAAAUUGAAAAUCUACCCGGAUGCCGUAGCAUAGCAAUAAAAAAUUCCUUUGAGAUGCACACAAUCCUUCUUCGAAGCUUUUGCAAAAAUGAGACUGUCAUCGGCGAAUAACAGAUGAGAAAUGGUGAUAUUGUUGCCGAAUUUCAGCCCAUGUAUCAGCCUCUGACUUUCAGCUUGCAUUAGGAGAUUUGAAAAAACUUAUGCACACAAGAUGAACAAAUAUGGAGAGAGAGAACACCCUUGUCUUAGCCCUCUUUGAGGCUGAAUCAAACCAUUCGGCACUCCAUUAAUGAGAACUGAGAAGGAUGUUGUGGUUAUGCAGCCCAUUAUCAGCUCUAUCCACUUAUUAGAAAAGCCUAGCUUCAGCAUUGUUUUUUCUAAAAAAUACCACUCCACCCGAUCAUAGGCUUUGCUUAUAUCAAGCUUUAAUGCCACUAACCCAUUCUUUUUCCCCUUACUAUGUCUUAUUUUAUGCAAGCAUUCAUACCCAAUAAUGAUAUUGUCAGUGAUUAAUCUAUUGGGAAUAAAAGCACUUUGUGCUGGGGAAAUGACAUGCUGAAGAAUAUGUUUCAACCGAUUAGCUAUGGCUUUUGUAAUAAUUCUAUAAAUGACAUUACAGAGACUAAUGGGUCUGAAAUCAGCAACUUUGCUAGGUUUUCUGAUUUUCGGAAUUAAAGCAAUGUAGGUGUGAUUUAAAGGAGCAAUGGUACCUUUCUCGUUUAGGAUGUGCAAAUAGGUACUAAUGACUUCUGUUUUGAUUGACUGCCAAUGCCUUUGGAAGAAAACAGCAUGUAAUCCAUCCGGACCCGGAGCUUUGGUGGGGCACAUUUGAGCUAAAGCCUCUGUUACUUCCUCAUCUGUAAAUGGUUGAUCAAGCUCAUCAUUCAUCGCAGUACUGACUUUUGGAUUUAACCCCUUUAAAACAACUUCUAAUUGAUCUUGAGUUGGAUUCGAGGUAGAAAAUAAAUUUGCGAAGUAUCCACAAAUUUAUUUUUCCACUUCUUCAUCGUCUUCAGUCCAAAUCCUUUGAUCAUUUUCCAUGCCCCAUAUCUUGUUCUUUCGUUUCCUUGAAGAUGCUUUUCAAUGAAAAAACUUGAUAUUUUUAUCUCCUUGUUUAAGCCAAUCUGCUCUCGAACGGUGCUUCCAAUAAAUUUCUUUCUCAGCCAAAAAUCUGUGAAUUUGCCUUUCAGUCAUUUUGAUUUCCUCCCCUCUGUCUUCCUGCUUCUGAUCCUCCGUUAGCUUUCCAAGCUUAUCAAUCAGCCUUUAGAGCUUCUUUUCCCUGCCACCAAAUUCUUAUUUGCUCCAUUUUUUUAGUUGAGCUAAAGAGUCUCUUGCAGUUUUUGCAAAUGUUUGCACCACCGAAUCCCCCAACCAGUUGUCGUUACAAGACCAUUCCGCUUUGAUAAUUUCCUUGCAUGCUUCGUAAGAACUCCACAUAUCUUCGCAAUAGGCUUUUGAAAAAAAAUUUCUUUUAUAGUUCACCUUAUUACUUCUUUCCCGAACUUCCAUUAAGAUGGGAUUAUGGUCGGAGCUCCAGCUUACAAGGUUUGUUGCCAUUGCAUCGUGGAAGUGAUCUGUCCAGUUUUUACUGCAAAAGAGUCUAUCUAAUUUCUCCUCAAUGAAAUUUGAUCCGAAUCUCCUAUUGGACCAAGUGUAAGAACAGCCAUUACUCCCCAUAUCAAUUAGUUUGUUGUCCUGGAUAGCCUUUCGAAACUCGCUGACAGCAUUUGAGUUUCUGUCAUUACCUCAAUUCUUUUCAUACAAGUGAAGGAUUUCAUUAAAGUCACCAAAACAAAGCCAAGUAAUGGAAGAUAAGCCUGCAAGCCUCCGGAUGUCCGUAAAUUCCCGUACACCUCACCCAUUUCCCUCGUUCAGUUUGCACUUCAGCAUCUAUAUGGUGGCUGUUGAAAGAGGUAAUGUUGACUAAGAUUUCUGAGUUCCACAUCAUGGUUAUUCCUCCGCUUCUCCCUUCACUGCUAACUGCAAAACAUCCAUCAAACUUCAAUACUUUGCCAACUUUUCUCAUUUACACAGACAUCAAUUUGGUUUCACACAAGAAAACAACUUGAGGUUUGUGCAUUUGGAGAAUGGUUUUGAGUGCUAAGAACGUCCGGUCAUUCCCUAUUCCCCGGACUUUCCAACUGAGGAUCCUCAUGGUUCUCAACGGGGCUGGUCACCAGCCUCCACCGAUAAGUCCUUUGUUAAAGUUGUACCAUCUUGUUUUUCUGGGUUUGUAUUUUCCCAGCUCAAUUUGAUCUUUGCCGAGGGAGAGCUGCAGUGCAAGUGUAUGGCUGGUGCUGCCAUUGGGCUAUUUAAUCUUUUUUUUUCUUACGAUCUGGGCUUCUCCACGAAAUUGUUUCUCCCUUCCGCUUAGAAGCUCCCAAUCCCUUUUUUGCCUUAUUGCUGCUGCUUAUUUCCCUAGCCUGUAGUUUCCACUUCCUGCGUUUGGGCUUACUUUGGCUCGUUACUGGCCCAUUUUCCACUUCCUCUUCCGCACUUACUUGGCAUGUGUUGUUUUCUUUAGAUGAGUUUUCGGCUUCUUUUUCCCGCUCUUUUUCUUUUCCUUCUUUUGUGAUUAAUUUCCCGCUUUGCUCUACUGUGUCAGCUUCUGUAACUUCUAUAGCUAGUAGCUUGAGCUAUCUUCUUGAAUUUCCAGCUUCUUGCAUUAAAUGUUCUCCAUCUACUUUGCCAUUCUUUCCAUGGACCAUUGGGUCUAAAGCUUCACCUGAUUUGAGAGGAUUAGAUUCAGAUCCAUAUUCAGUUUCCGGGUCCCGUUGACUGUUUUGCAUUUUCUGUUGACUUUGGGUAUCCGAAGCAUCAUCUCCUUUCUUGAAUUGAUUCUGUUCUCGAUACCAUUUAUCUCGGCGGUUCUACUUUAGUUUUCUAGCUCGUGUUGUAGCUUUUAUCCAGUAGCCGUAAGGGAGGUCUUCCUCGGGUUGCCCUUUAUACUCUAUGCACUCCUUAUAUUAAUGCCCUAUAAGCCCACAGUAAAAACAUAAAUCAGGUAGCCUUUCAUAUAGAAUUAGGAUUGAGAUGCUGCCUUCAUCUUCUGUUUCCACUUCCAGAAUUUUCUGAAGGGGUUUAGUGAUAUCCAUCGAGAUUCGGAGUCUUACAAUCUCUCCAAUACAGUUCCCCUCUUCAUCUGUGUCUACAUCUUCCACUGAACCAAUGUAUUCUCCCAACUCUUGGACCAUAUCUCUGUGCAUCCAUGUAAUCGGCAUAUUACGAAGAUGAACCCAAAAAGGUGUGUGAGUGAAUGACUGGUUUACUAUGUCUCCAAUGCCUUUUGGUUUCGUUAACACCAUUAACGCCCCAUCAAAAUGUCAGGGCCCUCCUCCCAUGACUCUCUUUUUAUCAGCCUCCACAGCAAACUUAAACAUAAAUAUGUUAUUGCCCAAACUCUCUAUUCUCACUUCUUUAUUUGUUCUCCAUAUUUGUAACAUAGCAGAUCUGAGACCUUCUAGAUUCACUCCUCUUUGGUGCAUAAUCUUGCCCACCAGACAGCAUGCUGCUAUUUGUUCCCCCCUAGCACUCUUUCUACCCAUGAAUGAUAUCUUAUUCGGCUGCUCUCCUUUGAUUGAAAUAGCUUUGCAUUUGCGAAUUAACUUCUCUGUAUCCAUGCCUUACUAGUUCUCAACUACUUCAAUAAAGAAUUUCUAAAAGUUUUCCUGCAACAAUCCCCGUGUUUAAUGAACUCCACCUUUUUUAUGACUCUUACUGCCAACCUCAGAAGGUUGAGGACAAUACUAUAAGAACUAAACUAGCCGCCACUAUCAAAGAGUGGCUAUAUGAGCCAUAAAGACUCUUUUUUUCUUUCAUUCAAGGUUUUCUCACGAAGAGGAGAGCACCUGUGAAGAGAGACUCUCGCAGCGUCCCAAGAACCCCUUUGCGCUCCUGUUAAAUUGGCCAUAACUGUCGUUUCCUUUUUUCUUUUUUCUUUUUUUUCCUCACUUCUCUAUUAUCUGCAGUUUACUGUUGGUCUCCUAAUGGAACACACUUUGAUUUUUGUCAAAGUUUAUUUCAUGUAUCAAAUGUUGCUGAUGUACGGAUGAGCUGAUAUAAUGGCUUAGGGAAUGUAAAGAGGGAUGUCUGAAAGGCACGCAUAUUGUGACUUCUGCAACUUGAUCUUGGAUCAGAGGCUUUUCUUUCUGGCUGGAAUAAUUGUUCACAUUAUGCCCAUCUUUACUUUCAUUUAAUUGUUGAAAGAUUCUGCUUUUAGAUAAUCAGCCCAGAGAGGUUGUUUCUGCAUAAAAGUUGCAUUUACAAUUGUAUAAAUUGUGUAUCACUAAUUUUGAUUCCAGAAGGAGCUGUAUAAAUGACUUUUUUGUUGUCUUUUUACAAGUUCUUUGUCUGGGAGAAUGCCAUUUAUUGUUUUGUUUCAAUUUUUAAGCAAUGAUACUGCAAUCUCAAAAGGAAAAUGAUUCUCUCAUUUGAUUAUUGUUGGAAGCACAAGCUGAAAGACAAUUUAAGUAAUUCUUGGCAUUGCUUUUUGCGCAAGUGUAUACCCUUAUGCUAAGCAACCCGAAGCCUGGUAUGUUAUAUAGCUUUGAGUAUGGACAAUUCAUUAUCUAAACCUUUUUUUUUUCUUUUUAAUGAAAGGACAUUAUUUAAACAUUUUUUUAUCACAUUGCAAGUAUCAUUUACUGGUCACUGACCAAACAAUAGCAUUGCCCUGAAUCAUGAUCAAUUCCCAUAAAAGAAUUCAACAUAAACUUAUGGAAGAUUGGCUGUUCUCUCUGUUAAAAUGCAGUAAAACAACCGCAAACGAGAAGAAGCAUGCAGUCAGUUCUCUGUUUUAGCCAAAUUUUGUGAUAAACACGUUAGCAAGCUGUUGCUAUUUCCCUGCCAAGAAUCCACCGUUGUCUCAGAUGAAUAAAUUUAUUGCUAUUUUGCAUGUUGUACAGAUAGCUACGGAAUACGGUGGCCAAUUGAAAUGAAAGUUGAGGAUUUAGAGUUUGAUUUUUACCGUUCCCACCCUAAUCGCCCUUCGGUGUAGCCUUAAACUUCAAUUUGGGUGAAUAUUUUGAAAAUGUUAAUAGUUUGGCACAGCCCAUCUACAAAGGUGGUGCCAACCAUGACUUUGACAGUAUAUAUAUUUGGUGCUUUAUUCUAUUCUUCUGCUAAAAAAGAGAUUAUGUUAAUUUUUUUAAAAUUAAAAUAAAAUACUGCUUCUUGCAGGAAUGAAAUGAAUAUGCUUAAUUUAUUACACAAAAUUAGGCAUUUUUGCAAUGGUUGCCAAUGGCAAGCUCCUUAUAUUACACGGGAGGUUGUCAUCAUCACUAACUAAUUGAAGGAACCCAGAUUGCCAAAUUCUGGUUAGCCAGGAUUACCAGGUUCACAAGAUUGAUGGCAAUAUAAUUCUUAAAGGUUUUACUACAUAGUACAACACUUUAAUUACCCUCUGCCCUCCAUUGAAAAAUCUCAUAGUUUUUUAAGUUUUUUUUUCCCCUCCUUUUGAAGAAUGCUAUAGCUAUAGAUCGCAUUAAGCUUCCAUUCAUCAUAGAUUUGAGCUUGAAUUUACGGAGAGAGCAAUUUUAAUUUUAGAUCUACAACAAAUGGAAUCUUAUAUCACUGGAAUUAUUCAUACCACUAUGUAAAGCCAAAGAUAAAGAUUAUAACAGUACCAAAUUCAGCACUAAAAGAUGUCUGCCAUUGGCAGCCGAUGGUGGUGAGCGGUCGUCGGUGGUUUUUGUUUUGUAAAAAGUAAUAUUACUUUAUUAACAACUAAUUUAUUAUUAAUAACAAUUAAUAUAAAAUUUACCAUAUAUUGUACGAUCUAGUAGUGGCUCAACCUUAGGCAAUUGUUUAGGGCUCCAUAUAAACUUAAGGCUCUAGUUUAGGAUAAAUUGAUUUUCUACAUAUUAAUUCCUUGUUUUAGAGGUAAAAUUUUCAAGUGGAAUAAGUUUUAUUUUCUUCUCUAAUAUAUUAUCAAGAUCCGUCUGAAUUCUUCUAAAUAUAUUUUAAUGGCCGAUUAAAAUUCAAAAGAGUAGCAUCUACCUAUUUCAAUAUAUGAAAAUCUAAAAAAUAGUUUAAAAAGCACAAAAAUCAUAUUAAUAUUGGAUCCUUGUCCAAUCUUAUCAACCAUCCAUUUUCUUUUUCAAAGUUCUUUAAGUUGUUAUUAUUCUUAAAAUAUAUUAUAAUCUAAAAUUUAUUGGAAAUUUAGAUCCAUACACUUGUAAUAUAGUUUAGAGAUUAAUUGAGCACUAACUCGAAAGUGCUUUCUCACAAAUAAUUGAGAAAAAAAAAUUACUCCUAGUCUGUUGGAAUUUUAGAUCCGUACACUUGUGAUAAAAUCUGAGAUUAGUCGAGCAUUAACUUAAAAGUAUACUCUUACAAAUAAUUGAGGAAAAAAAAAUUUACUUGUAAUCUACAUUUUUCAAAUCUAUACUUAUAAAAUUGAACAUGCUUUUUUUUUAAUCUGUUAACAUAAACUUUAGUUUCUUGUUUUAUACCUAAAGUAAAGUAAAUUUUAAUUGCAACAGCUAUUUAAAAAUUUUGCAUAAGGUCAAUGUUAUCUUCAGCGGCCCAAGUAUGGUCCAUACUACACCACACAUAAUACUAUAUUUAAAUUUAAUACGUUUCAAUCUGAUGCAAGAGCACAACAGAAUUCAUUACUUUGCUUUGUCAAAGAUUUUGAAGAAUCAACUAAAUGUAGACCACUGCGAAUUAUCUUUUCAAGAUUUAUAUGUGUACAACCCUCAAACAGCACUACGAAAAUGGCGAUGACGAAGACACAGAUUAAAUAAGAUAAAAAAGAAGAAUCAAAUAAAAUGAAGGCAAGCGUGACACUGCCACUAAUCACUAUAUAGGGAUGACAUUAUUUAAUUUAAAUAAGCUACCGUUUGACGUUUCCCAACCAAGUAAGUAACAAAUUAAAACGUUUGAAAAAGAAGGACAUGUAUGUAGAUGAUGCAAUUUAACAAGACUGAAACAAAAUCUCUAAUUAUUUAAUUCUUGUCAUGGGGCACAAAGUGAACUGAAACUUAUCGGAACUUAAGCGUGUUUUAGUGGGAUAAAGGCACAACUCCGUAUUAUUUAAAAAUGAUUGAUUCAAUCAACUUAUCAUCUCAGAACAAGGAAGUAAUAAUAAUAAGUAUUAACCGCUGCAUGCCAUUGCCAAGAAAGAAAAAUUAGGUCAACAGAAUCUAGGAGGACAUACGUAUUACGUGUUACGCAAUUUCUAUUAAGGCCGUAAGUUAAUGUAAGUUAAUGUCAUUCGAUCCCUCUUUGAUUAAAAAGUUAAAAAUUAAAAAAAAAUAGUAGAUUUUUUUUUUUAAAAAAAAACACUACUAAUAUUUUACACGUCCAGAGUAAUAUUUCUAUGCUGAAGAGGAAUCUACUCUAAUUUUAGAGAGUAUACUGCUCUCUCUUAUUAGAGAAAAAUUAUAGGGACUUGGAACUCACUCCCUCAUUCUUUACCAUGGGCCUACAGAAUCCAAUGUAUAAUUUUUCCCUUUACGUACACACGUAGGCAACAGAGCGCAAUGUAUAAUUUUCCCUUUACAUACGCACGUAGGCACGGCAUCCGCUAAAGAUUAGUAUGUUAGUCGCACAACACAUAUCUUGAUCGCAGCCUAAAGGGAUAAACAAUUAAACAUUGACUAACACAUAUCGUAAUCGCAGGCUAAAGGACAAACAUUGAGAGGGAGAAGAAGAAGAAUUUAAUUGAAUAUUGUCGUUUUUCAUAUAUGCGCAUAAAGUCAUAAAAAUGCAGCUAGAUUAUUAGAUUGAGGAUAAAGUCAUAGAAUGCAGGUAUAUUAUUAGAUUGAGGAGAAAUUUUAGAAUACAUCACGUUAGCCUUACAAUUCUGAUUUUGAGCAAGAUUUAAAAUGUCGUCGAUCAUUAAAUCACUGACUUUCUUGGAAAAUUUUGAUUUUAAACAAGUGAAGUAGUCGUCCCAAUUAACACGCAGGCCGCCACUUGGACCAGAAUAGCCAAUAAAUAAAAUUGCAAAAAAUGAAGUUGCACACGGUUUCAGUUUCUUAGUAUGUAAUAGCUUUGUUGUCGUUUCUAUUUUCUACGGGGAAUAGCUUCAGCAGAACAGUGCGGAAGACAAGCUGGAGGAGCUGUGUGCUGCAGCGAGUACGGAUGGUGCGGCAACACACCUCAACACCGCGGAGUUAAUUGUCAGAGCCAAUGUGGCUCAUUGUAAUCACCUCAGCUCUUUUUGAUCAGCUGCUUAAAUACAGAAACGACGUUAGAUGCCAAGUAAUCAAUUCUGUACUUAUGAUGCUUCCAUCACUGCUGCCAAAUCCUUUAAACCACUUUGGCACAACUGAUAACUAUAUUACGCGUAAGAAGGAACCUGCAGCUUUUUUGGCUCUAACUUCUCAUGAACUAAAGGUUACUUAGCAUACAUUCAAUUUGUGCAUAUAAAUAGUACGCCGGGCUAGCUAAGUGUAAUAUUUUUUAUCAUUAAUUGAUUCAUUAUAUUAAACAUAAACAGGCAUAUAAUUAAUUUAUUAAUUAAUUAAGUUGAUAAUAUUUGAGCUUGAUCGAUCGAGCAGGAGGCUGGGCAGAAGCAGAUGAUGAUCUAUACGCAUGGGGAUAUUGCUUUGCUAAAGAAAAAGAACCCAAAUAUCAAAUACCCUUUGCAACUGCACCCUAAAUUGCCUUACUUUAAAGGGAGGAGAGAUUAUAGAGUAAUUUUAACGCAUUAAACCCACUUAAUGCAUAUAAGACACGUGUGCAGGUAUUAAAUAUAACUAUUAAUUACAUGAUGAUUUUUUAAAACAAAUGUGCAUGCAUCAUAAAUACAUUAAGUAAGUGUAGUAAGAUCCCUUUAAGUUAUAUGCAUGUACCUUACAAUCCUCUCACAUAAAUAGUGAGUGAACCCACACUACUCACUAUUCAUGUGAGAGGGUUAUAAGGUACAUGCAUAUAAUUUAACAUUAGCCAGUGUAGUAUAAUAGAAGUACUCUACCCUAGUUUUUAUUAGACUCCAAUGUAUUAGAAAAAAAAAAAAAGGUACUCUAUAAUCUCUUUAAAAAGGAAAAACUCCCAACUCAACUCAAGUGCAUUAAGUGUUUGAGGAGUCCAAUGGCAAUUAUCCCAAUAAAAAAUUAUAAUUAAUUAAUUAUUCUAUUCAUUACUAUGUAAUAUUGGAAGAGUUAUUUUUAGAAACCUCCCCAGAAGUUUAGUGUAUUGACAGUUUGAUAGAAAGUAUUCAUAUAAUUACAGAGACCUCCCCUGACGUUAGUAUUCCGUGGACCGUCAGUUGACUAUUGAAAUUCCAAAAAUGUCCUUGCCGCAAAAAUAUAUUUUUAACAUAGAGGAGGUUGCGCUCGUAACAUAGCCUUAUUAGCAUUCAUUUCUGAUCCUUUGUUCUGCAUUCAUUUCUGAUCCUUUGUUCUUAGUCCCGGUAUAUAAGCCCAUCCUUACCAAACAAAAUUUUAGAUCAAACAUGCUUAAAGAAAAUAGAUAAUGCAGCAUCUAAAAUAAUUUUAAAACACAAAACAACAAAUACUCCACAUUUCAAAGUAAUAAAAAAAUAAAUAAUCGCAGUGCAAAUAGAUUAAACCUGAGCAAAUUUAUAGGCAUUAAGAGUAUUCUCAACGGCGACUUUCCUCUCAUCGCCAGUCUUAAACUCAGCCAAGUUAAGCAAACUCAUGUCGAAACCAAAAUUAGAAUUUAGAAAGGAAAAAAACAUAUUUGAGAAUCAAUUUAUUUUUUGGGAGCGCGUGAGUGAUGAGUUUUGGAAUCUAAAAUGAUAUCAAGUUAUGAAGUAUUUUUGGUGUAAACGCAACAGCCAUGAGAGGAGAGUGACGAGAAACUUCCAAAAAGAGGUGAAAAAAAAUAAAACAAAAGAGAAAAAGGCCAAAAUGAAAAAGACUCAAAAAAACAAAAACAGAGAGGAGACGCAAGGGCAAUCAAGCAAGCAGACAAUCUUAAACCUGAGCAGAUAAUCACCCUUCAUCUUCAAAUAAAACACCUUGGAAUCGGCAGCGGCAGCGGUGGGAACCAAUUUUUGGUCCAAUAAUCUCAAGAUCCCGCCACAGAUCUCCGUCAACUCGGCUUCGAUCUUCGAUCUGUACUCCUUAAUCACGGAGACAUGGUCCUAGUUGCCGUGCGACUCGUCCUACUGCUCGAUGGAGGACACGAUGCACCAGGAGGCGCGCCGUGCGCCGAUGACAUUCUUGUAGGCGACGGAGAGGAGGUUCCUCGCUGGUCGAGGUAGAGACGACAACUUUUUCCAUGUAUUGGACCAUCUCCUCGUACCACUCAGCUUGCUCCGCAAGUUUUGCCAUGUAUACGUUUUCUUCCCGUGGAGAAGGGGCUGCCAUUGUUCCGUUCAGUUGUCUUUGUGUUUGUUUGAAUUUUGUUUUUGUUUAAAUUUUAAAUUUAUUUUUACGUAUUUACCCUUUAUAGUAACGUUAUACGUAUUUUUGUAUUAACGUUAGGGGAGAUCUUUGUAAUUACAUGAAUACUUUCUAUCCGACUGUUAAUACACUAAAUCUCAGGAGAGGUCUCUAAAAAUAACCCAAUAUUGGAAAUAUUUUGUAUUUGAAGAUCAUUUAAUAAGACAGAAUGAAUCAUUUAAUAAGACAAGAUCAAGAUUUAUUUGUAUGUUAGAAAUGAUUUAUGCUGAUCAGUUUAUUUAGUUUGUAGUAGCACUUUGGAGAAGAAUAAAUUUUAGAAUACUUCAAAGAUAAUAUAAUUAUAAUAGUAUUUUAAAAUAAAUACACAUAUAACAUAACAUUAUUAAUUUAUUAUAUGACUCAUAUGAUACUUAUGAUGUAUUCUAAAAUUCCUAAGAAAAAAAUGCAGUUUCCUUGUUUUUAUUGGCUAGCGUAAGGUGGUCAAUAUGAAAAUUUAUUCUAUGUUGAGUUGGCCAGAUAUCUUAAUGCAACUACUCUUUGUGGCAUAAUAGUGGUUCUAUUUUGGCAUUCAUUAUAGUAUUUUUAAUAUUAAAUUUGGUGGGUCUCACUAUAUGACCCACCCAUGGCUAUCUCACCAUAAGACUCGUUGCUCUAUCCCAUAUUCACGUGAUAGAACUAUAUUACCCUCACCACCUCAGCAAGUCCUUCUUCUUAUGGAUUUACUUUGCAGAUUACUGUUGCUUUUUCGGAAUUUUCGAUUUGUCACCAAAGGCAAAGCUGUUCUUGACAAUAGUAUAAAUGCACUCUUAUAGCUGUUCUCGACUAUUUCUUGUUUGCUGUUUCUGUUCUUCUAACUCUACUUGCCAGUUUGCUGGGUUUGUUUGUUGAUGCUCGCUGGAUUUUUAUUCAUUUGCGUGUUGAAGAAUUUAAUUUGUUUUAGAACUCCUCAGUUAUAGCAAAUACGCCGAAUCAUAAAUAGCCUCUCAUAGAAGAGGAAGAGAGAUAUUUUUAUGUGAAUCAUAAAUAGCCAAUUUUCAAAAGGCCAAAAAAAUCAAGGGGAAAGAUACUUUUCGUUUUCGAUCUUGAUUUUAAUGGGAAUGCAGCUUUGCUCUCGUUGUCCGUAGAGAUAGAGUUGCCCUGUUGCAUAGUUUUUGCACCGGGCAGGCAGUUACUACAAACACACACACACACAUAUAUGAUGGAGGUUGGAGGGCCAGUCUUGCAUCUGCUGUUCAAUCAAGAAAAUUAGCUUAGAUCACAAAUUUAAUUUAAUAUUUUUAAUAAAAAAUUUUGCAGCCUUGGCAUGUUAUUUUAGUUCAAUCUUACUCACUUUGGAAUGAAUAUGCUUUGAUUAUUCACUCAUGAUAGCUCAGCUGUUUUACAUUCUGUAACUCUUUGAUUUUAGGUGUCAUGUAUGUAGCACGCUACCUGAAUUUUUAUUAUAUUAUUAUUUAUUGAUAAAUUUUUAUUAAUCACAUUAUCGUUGCAAGGUUUUGUGUUUUAAAAAUUAUAUAUGAUGAUUUCAUAGUCAAUGCAAUAAUAUACAAUAUUUGCAUGUAUAUAACUAAGAAGAAGAAGAAGAACAGGAGGGAAAUCAUUUAUAGUUUCAUGUUUUUUAAUCAUUCCCUUGUUUUGUUAAAUUUCUUUUGUCGUCAUUUAGGUGUGACUAAUUCAUGUUUCUAGAUUCAAAAUAAUUAAUAAUUUUUUUAAAAAAAUUUGAACGAGGUUUAAAUUUAAAACUCUUCAAAAUUAUCCGGACAAUUUUAAUACUGAAUUGGAGCGCCUAUCACAAAUUUAAAACAAUUAUAAAUCGAUAAAAAUUACUAUUCAAAAUAAAGAGAUUGAUUAUUGAUAAAUUGAUAAUCAACGGCGUACUGCAUAUGCUACAUGUGAUUCCCCGCAAUCUUCUCCGCAUAUAUAUUAACAAAGAUUUUGAGAUCUAAUGUAAUAAUAAAAAAAUUGUCCUUGGAGGGUAGUCAUUAAUUGCUUCUCCUUAGACUUUUCUUGAUGGUCUCACCGAUCUUAUCAAUAUCCAAGAAUAAUUCAAAGUAGCUGAUCAUAUUCCCUUCCUCUCUGCAAAAAUUUUGCCGUGCAGCCGACAGACAACGUGUAUCACCAUCUAAUGUUGAAUAGUCAAAUUAAUAAAGAGUUUAGAUAAUGGGAUUGAGAGCAUGCACAUUUUGGUACACGUUACGUCCAAUAUGUAGCUAGCGGCUAUAAAUUAAAUUCUUCAAGCCAAAUAUAUACAUAUAUAUGGCUUGAUAAAUUGCCCAAAAAAAAACUGAUCAUAGUAAUAAAAAGAAAUUAAGUUAAUGGAGUUGUAUAUGAGAUUAUUAUGGGGUUCGGCUCUAGCUCUGGCAUUGUGGAUCAAUCUGGCGUCGGCUGAACAGUGUGGCAGCCAGGCUGGAGGAGCUGUAUGUCCAGGAGGACUGUGUUGCAGCAAAUUUGGCUUCUGCGGCAACACUCCUGCUUAUUGCACUGGUGGCUGCCAAAGCCAGUGCAGUGGGUCACCCUCACCCACGCCGACUAAACCGACUCCCGUACCUGCUCCUAGCGGCGGCGGGAACAAUAUCGGUUCACUAAUUAGCAGGGACCUAUUUGAACAGCUGUUGAAGCAUCGUAAUGAUGCAGCUUGCCAAGGAAAAGGUUUUUACACUUACGACGCUUUCAUCGCUGCCGCCAAAUCCUUUGGUGCCUUCGGAACAACCGGUGACACCGAUACUCGCAAAAGAGAAAUCGCUGCCUUUUUGGCUCAAACUUCACAUGAAACUACAGGUUAUUUUAAUUGAUUUUUUUUUUGUUUAACUGCAUUAGGUGACCAAUUUAAAUUAUACAUACGUUUAUUUUAUGGUGGCUAAUAAUUGAUUAAUUAAUUAAAUGAAUUUUAACGAGGUCAAUUAAUGCAAUGCAAAUAUAUUUAAUUUGAAGGUGGCUGGCCUACUGCGCCCGAUGGUCCAUAUGCAUGGGGAUAUUGCUUCAAGCAGGAACAAGGAAACCCUGGAGAUUAUUGUCAACCAAGUCAACAAUGGCCAUGUGCACCUGGGAAAAAGUAUUUUGGCCGAGGUCCCAUCCAGAUUUCAUAGUAAGUUCGUAAUUAGCUAGCUAGAGAACUAGUCGUACGUAGGUCUCACCAUCAUUAGUAAUCAGUUUAGAUUUAAAUUAACUUAAUUUGUAUAUAUAUGUAGAAGUAAAACAAUAAUAUAUUAAUUAGCUCGAAGUAAUGAUUGACUUUGGCCACGCAUGAAUCAUGAUGCAGCAACUACAACUACGGUCCAGCAGGAAAAGCCAUAAACGUUGACUUGCUUGGCAACCCAGAUGCUGUGGCAAAUGAUCCUACUAUUUCGUUCAAGACUGCUUUCUGGUUCUGGAUGACCCCACAGUCACCAAAACCUUCAUGCCACGAUGUUAUCACAGGCCAAUGGAAGCCAUCAGCCGCCGAUACUCAAGCUGGUCGCCUUCCCGGUUAUGGGGUUAUCACCAACAUCAUCAAUGGUGGCAUUGAAUGUGGUAAAGGUUCGAAUCCGAAAGCGGAGGAUCGCAUCGGGUUCUACAAGAGAUACUGUGACAUUUUGAAAGUCAGCUACGGCAACAAUUUGAACUGCAACAACCAAAGACCCUUUAAUGCUUAGCCGUAACUUGUCCAAGUUAAUCAAUAAUAUUAAUGAUGUGAUAUGUUAAUUCCAUCUUCUAAAUAAUAAAAUAAAAGCCAACAAAUGGGGGUUAAUUACUUGUUUGUCGAGCAUCUCGUUUUAUACUUGCAUGAGGCAAAAGUGGUGCCUUGAUUGGGCCUUGUAAAGUUAACAGUGAAAUUUCACAAAAGCCCGUUUAAACCAGCUCCAGCCCACUUUGUACACCAAUCUUUCCCCCACUCUCAGCCUCAAAUCAAAUAAAAAAACCCUUCCAAAAAAAAAAAAAAAAAAAAAAUCAAAUCAAAUCAAACCCUGCGACUCAAAUUUGCAGAGGAAACCAAAGAACAAACAAUCGCUAAAUUAAUUUCGCACACCAAAAUGGGCAAAAUUCCUCCGGCUCUCCGCACAGCAAUUUCGUCGAACACCCUUCUCAAAACACCGGCACCAACGCAAGCCCUAAAAUCCCCUCAUCAAUUUCUCUACAAAAAUGAAAACCCCUCUAAAAAAUCAGCAGCAGCAAAUAAAUCUGAAAAAAAGACGCCUGCACCGGCUGUUAUCUUCAAAUCCCCAGAAUUAUCAGAAGCCAUAAAAAUCUUCAAUUCCCUCGUAACAGCCACAAUGCAGACCCCACGUGAUCGUACCUUCCACAACUCCCUCCUCCAGUCGUACGCUUCCAUCUCCACCGUUGAUGACUCCAUCUCUCUUCUCAACCACAUGGUCAAAGCUAACCCAUCUUUCAACCCCGACCGCUCAACUUAUCACAUCCUACUCGCCCAGUCCUGCCAAGCACCUGAUAAUAGCCUCUCCUCUAUCAGCAAAACGCUCAGUCUCAUGACCACUAAUGGGUACCCGCCCAAUCAAGGAACCACUGACAUCGCUGUCAGGUCCUUAUGUUCUGCCAAUCGCUUAGACGAUGCUAUUGAAUUGGUAAAAGGCUUAUCUUUAAACAGCUCCCCCCCUGAUAUUUUUACCUACAAUUUUCUUGUCAAGUGUUUGUGUAAAUGUCGCUCUCUGACUACUGUUUACAAUUUUGUUGAUCAAAUGCGUGCUUCAUUUGGUAUAAAGCCAAAUCUUGUCACUUAUACUAUUUUGAUCGAUAAUGUUUGCAAUACUAAGAAUUUACGUGAGGCUAUGAGAUUGGUUAGUGCCUUGAGUGAUUCGGCGUUUAAGCCUGAUUGUUUUGUGUACAAUACUAUUAUGAAAGGGUAUUGUAAUUUGAGUAGAGGAGUUGAAGUUAUCGGUGUUUAUAAUAAAAUGAAAGAGGAAGGCGUUGAGCCUGAUCUUGUUACGUAUAAUACGUUGAUUUUUGGGUUGUCCAAAUGUGGGAGAGUGGGUGAAGCAAAGAAGUUCUUGAAAGUCAUGGUGGAAGCAGGGUUUCUUCCUGAUGCUGUUACGUAUACUUCAUUGAUGAAUGGAAUGUGUAGGGAAGGGGAUGCGCUGGGUGCAUUGGCGUUGUUGGAGGAGAUGGAGGGUAAAGGAUGUAGUCCAAAUUCAUGCACAUAUAAUACAUUGCUUUAUGGACUGUGUAAGUCGAGGUUGACGGAGAAAGGGAUUGAAUUGUAUCGGGCGAUGAAAGAGGGUGGUGUGAAGCUCGAGACUGCUGCUUAUGCCACGCUUGUGAGGGCACUUUGUAGGCAUGGUAAGGUUGCUGAGGCUUAUGAAGUUUUCGAUUAUGCUGUUGAGAGUAAGAGUUUGACUGAUGUUGCUGCCUACACAACGUUGGAGAGCACACUUAAGUGGCUGAAGAAAGCUAAAGAGCAAGGCCAUGCUGUAUGAUUAUGAUUGGUAUGUUUUCAUUACUAUCUCAAUCUCUUUAGUUGCCAGUUAUUUUGUAUGUUUUUCUGUGUUUGGCUGAUAUUUUACUAUUCUAAUCACGUUUGUAGCAGACUCAGUUCAUGCACUGAAUUGAAAUUUCAAAAAAUGUUUUGAUUCACACACUUCUUAUAAUAUGUUUCUUCAUUUGUCAUUCCUGUUGCAUUCCUCAUUAGCAGUUCAAGCAUGUUUGCUGUGUAGAGUUUAAAUAAAGACACAAUUGAGCAAUCGGACCAUUAUCCUAGUCUGUAAUUGAUUUGAUGAUUAGGCAAUUAUAUGCAAAUCAAUUUGAGAAGAACUAAGUAACUUAAUUACAAUAUGAUGAUGCUAUUUGAGAUAACUAGUAUAAAAGGAAAGGGGACAUCACUACUGGUCCAACAGUACAGGGUCUUGGGACUUCUACAUGGAACUUGAGGUGUCCUCUUUAUCGUACGGCUAGCUUCUACAUGUUAAUUUUAAGCUGUGAUAUCUGGUGUGAAAUGACAUGUUCAUUGCAUUCUCAAAGCCCAGCUCUUUUAUGCUGAGGCUGUUGUAGGUUUUGGUUUGAGUUAUCACCUGUCCCUCCCUCAGCCAAACAAUGCAGGAGAUAUCCAUAUGCAAUUUUGUAGACCUGCAGUCUAUCUAAUACAGCAGACAUCUGAGAGUGACAACUGUUUUGGAGAAAUUAAGACAACUACAA